rnacentral:tRNA from 1 species
AGGCACUUAGGAUAAUUAAUAGACCAAAAGCCUUCAAAGCUUUAAGUAGAAGUGAGAAUCUUCUAGUCCCUG